UACGUAGGGUGCAAGCGUUGUCCGGAAUUAUUGGGCGUAAAGAGCUCGUAGGCGGUCUGUCGCGUCGGCUGUGAAAACCUGGGGCUCAACUCCAGGCCUGCAGUCGAUACGGGCAGACUAGAGUUCGGUAGGGGAGACUGGAAUUCCUGGUGUAGCGGUGAAAUGCGUAGAUAUCGGAAGGAACACCAGUGGCGAAAGCGGCUUCCUGGUCCAGCACCGACGUCAGGCACGAAAGCGUGGGGAGCAAACAGG
rnacentral:rRNA from 1 species